AGAGUUUGAUCCUGGCUCAGAAUGAACGCUGGCGGCGUGCUUAACACAUGCAAGUCGAACGAGAAAGGGAUUGCUUGCAAUCCUGAGUAGAGUGGCGCACGGGUGAGUAACACGUAGAUAAUCUACCUUUGARCCYGGGAUAACUAAUCGAAAGGUUAGCUAAUACCGGAUGARGUUAAUMGRCRUARGUUKAUUGAUGAAAGACUGCCUAUCCUUGGAAGCAGUUGUUUGRAGAUGAGUUUGCGGACCAUUAGYUAGUUGGUGGGGUAAMGGCCYACCAAGGCKAYGAYSRKUAGCUGGUCUGAGAGGAUGAUCAGCCACACUGGAACUGARACACGGUCCAGACUCCUACGGGAGGCAGCAGUGAGGAAUWUUGGGCAAUGGACGCAAGUCUGACCCAGCAACGCCGCGUGAAGGAUGAAUGUCGUAAGAUUGUAAACUUCUGUGAGAAGGGACGAAAAAACRGGCUCAUACCCYGUUCUGACGGUACCUUCAGAGGAAGCCCCGGCUAACUACGUGCCAGCAGCCGCGGUAAUACGUAGGGGGCUAGCGUUGUCCGGAUUUACUGGGUGUAAAGGGCGCGUAGGUGGACUUGUCAGUCAGAGGUGAAACCCUGYAGCUUAACUGCAGAACUGCCUUUGAUACUGCAAGCCUUGAGUCUAGAAGAGAAAAGCGGAAUUCCAGGUGUAGUGGUGAAAUAYGUAGAUAUCUGGAAGAACACCAGUUGCGAAGGCGGCUUUUUGGUCUAGAACUGACACUGAGGCGCGAAAGCGUGGGUAGCAAACAGGAUUAGAUACCCUGGUAGUCC
rnacentral:rRNA from 1 species